UACGUAGGGUGCAAGCGUUAAUCGGAAUUACUGGGCGUAAAGCGUGCGUAGGCGGUUCCUCAAGUCCGUUGUGAAAGCCCCGGGCUCAACCUGGGAAUGGCAGUGGAAACUAGGGGACUGGAAUCUGGCAGAGGGGGUGGAAUGCCGCGUGUAGCAGUGAAAUGCGUAGAGAUGCGGAGGAACACCGAUGGCGAAGGCAGCCCCCUGGGCUAGCACUGACGCUCAGGCACGAAAGCGUGGGAGCAAACAGG
rnacentral:rRNA from 1 species